CCAAGAGGAGGACCAGUGCCAACAGGCCCACAGUUGAACAGAGCACUGAUACUGAUGCAGCUGAGAGAGAUUUUGUUGAUAAUCAGAGUGAUGAAGAUGAGGAUAAGGUGAAGAAGGAUCCCCUGCCUCAGAUGGAGCAGGAUGCCGUGAAGAGAAAUAAAGUCAAGACCAAGAGGACCAAGAGAAACAAAGUGGAGCAGAUCACUGAUACAGAUGCAGGUCCCUCUACAUCUGUGGAAUUUUCUGGGAUGACAGUUCAGGGGACAUCUCACCAGGGACAAUCUAAUGAAAA